UAAAAGGAGGCAGAGGCUCACAGAUUUGCUGAGUAAUUGUCUAGAGAGAACUCUGUGAGAUCACUUCCUUCUUCUUCACCAUGCAUCCGAUCUGAAAGCACGUGUAUGUCUGAGCUCUGCAGCUCAGACUCCAUUUUAGGCCUAGAUACUCUACUUUAGUAACUUAGUUAGUACUUUAAAUCUGCCUUGACUUUACUACUGUAACUGCUGUUUUGAAACCUAGAUUAUGCCUUUGGGGCUAACCAUGACUGGAAGGAGAAGUUCCAUGUUCUUACUCAAUCAGCAAUUGAGGAACUCUCUCUGAUAUUGAAGAUACCAUCAUGGCUCAGUGACUUAUUAAAGUAUAAUCUCUCUAGAUGUUCCAGGACAUCUUCUCUUGCUACCUCAGUUUGUGUUGUUCCAAUUUGCUGCCCAGUAAAAUAAGUUCAGGCUCAGAUUAUGUAUUCAGUCUGUUUUAUAUCUUCUGUAGCAAAGAUGGAGACAAAAAAAUCAUUCAGUUUUCUGCAGUCUCUGUAUUUUCCUUGAACAUCUCUUUCACAUCUUUGUCAUUUAGCAGCCCAACACUUCCCAGACUGUUUCACUGCUUUGAAUUAAAGGAAUGUGUAUUGUU